AAUAAGUGCAGUUUUACACUAUUCAUGUUCAACGUUUGAUCGUUCGUCUUAUUUGAAUUUUUUUUAAGAUUAGUAUUUUUAUUGUUGUUAGAUAAUAAAACAUGAAUAGUAUUUUAUACGUGACUAAAUAUUUUUAAUUUUUUCACAAAUUUUUCAAAUAAGACAGACGGUCAAACGUUGGACAAGGAUAUUUACGGCUACACUUAUU
rfam:Oryza glumipatula chromosome 2, whole genome shotgun sequence.